CCUACGGGUGGCAGCAGUGGGGAAUAUUGCACAAUGGGGGAAACCCUGAUGCAGCAACGCCGCGUGAGUGAAGAAGUAUUUCGGUAUGUAAAGCUCUAUCAUCAGGGAAGAAGAUGACGGUACCUGAAUAAGAAGCCCCGGCUAACUACGUGCCAGCAGCCGCGGUAAUACGUAGGGGGCAAGCGUUAUCCGGAUUUACUGGGUGUAAAGGGAGCGCAGACGGCAGUGCAAGUCUGGAGUGAAAGCCCGGGGCACACCCCCGGAACUGCGCUGGAAACUGUGCGGCUAGAGUAAGGGAGGGGCAGGUGGAAUUCCUAGUGUAGCGGUGAAAUGCGUAGAUAUGAGGAGGAACACCAGUGGCGAAGGCGGCCUGCUGUACAGUAACUGACGUUGAGGCUCGAAAGCGUGGGGAGCAAACAGGAUUAGAUACCCCAGUAGUC
rnacentral:rRNA from 1 species